rnacentral:rRNA from 1 species
ACGAACGCUGGCGGCGUGCUUGACACAUGCAAGUCGAACGGUGAACAAGGAGCUUGCUUCUUGGGAUCAGUGGCGAACGGGUGAGUAACACGUGAGUAACCUGCCCUUGACUCUGGGAUAAGCGUUGGAAACGACGUCUAAUACCGGAUAUGACCUCCGACGGCAUCGUCUGGGGGUGGAAAGAAUUUUGGUUGAGGAUGGACUCGCGGCCUAUCAGCUUGUUGGUGGGGUAAUGGCCUACCAAGGCGACGACGGGUAGCCGACCUGAGAGGGUGACCGGCCACACUGGGACUGAGACACGGCCCAGACUCCUACGGGAGGCAGCAGUGGGGAAUAUUGCACAAUGGGCGGAAGCCUGAUGCAGCGACGCCGCGUGAGGGAUGAAGGCCUUCGGGUUGUAAACCUCUUUCAGCAGGGACGAAGCGUGAGUGACGGUACCUGCAGAAGAAGCACCGGCUAACUACGU